rnacentral:miRNA from 1 species
CCAGUCCCUGCACCCCAUCCCUG